rnacentral:rRNA from 1 species
GACGAACGCUGGCGGCGUGCCUAACACAUGCAAGUAGAACGGUGAAGAGCGGAGUUUGCUCUUCUUGGGUGAGGCGAGAAGGGGUGAGUCACGUGUAUGUAACCUGCUUUGUAGCGGGGGAUAAUCAUGGGAAACGAUAGCUAAUAGGGCAUAACAUUGUGUUGCACGUGUGGGUUAGUUGAGAUGCGCAAUUGGGGCAUGAAAUGACGGACCUGCGUUGUAUUAGUGAGUAGGUGCGGUAAUGGGGCACUUAGGCGUAGUUACAUAGCCGACCUGAGAGGGUGGUCGGCCACACUGGGACUGUGACACGGCCCAGACUCCUUCGGGAGGCAGCCGUAGGGAAUCUUCAGCCAUGGGUGCAGCCCGGACCGAGCAACGCGGCGUGAGUGAAGAAGGUUGCCGCGUCGUGAAGCUCUGUUGUAAGUCAGGAACGGGUGUGAGAGUGGGAAGUUCAGACUGUGACGGUAGCUGACCAAGAAGCGCCGGCUAACUACGUG